rnacentral:rRNA from 1 species
GACGAACGCUGGCGGCAUGCCUAAUACAUGCAAGUCGAGCGAACAGAUGAAGUGCUUGCACUUCUGACGUUAGCGGCGAACGGGUGAGUAACACGUAAGGAAUCUACCUAUAAGCGGGGGAUAACAUUCGGAAACGGGUGCUAAUACCGCAUAAUAUCUUCUUCCGCAUGGAAGAAGAUUGAAAGACGGCUCUGCUGUCACUUAUAGAUGACCUUGCGGUGCAUUAGUUAGUUGGUGGGGUAAUGGCCUACCAAGACGAUGAUGCAUAGCCGACCUGAGAGGGUGAUCGGCCAGAAUGGGACUGAGACACGGCCCAAACUCCUAUGGGAGUCAGCAGUAGGGAAUCUUCCGCAAUGGGCGAAAGCCUGACGGAGCAAUGCCGCGUGAGUGAAGAAGGCCUUCGGGUCGUAAAACUCUGUUAUAAUAGAAGAACAAAUUGUAGAGUAACUGCUACAGUCUUGACGGUAUCUUAUCAGAAAGCCACGGCUAACUACGUGCCAGCAGCCGCCGUAA